rnacentral:rRNA from 1 species
CCCCUAGAUGUUCUGGGCCGCACGCGCGCUACACUGAACAGUUCAACAAGUCUUAACCUUGGCCGAUAGGUCUGGGUAAUCUUUGAACGCUGUUCGUGAUUGGGAUAGACCUUUGCAAUUAUGGGUCUUCAACGAGGAAUUCCUAGUAAACGCAAGUCAUCAGCUUGCAUUGAUUACGUCCCUGCCCUUUGUACACACCGCCCGUCGCACCUACCGAUUGAAUGGUCCGGUGAAAUCUCGGGACGGCGGCUUGGUCGCUUGCGUCCGACUGCUGAAACUUGAUUAAACCAUAUCAUUUAGAGGAACGUGAAGUCGUANCA